GAUGAACGCUGGCGGCGUGCUUAACACAUGCAAGUCGAACGAUGAAGCCCAGCUUGCUGGGUGGAUUAGUGGCGAACGGGUGAGUAACACGUGAGUAAUCUGCCCUUAACUCUGGGAUAAGCCUGGGAAACUGGGUCUAAUACCGGAUAGGAGCGUCCACCGCAUGGUGGGUGUUGGAGAGUUUUAUCGGUUUUGGAUGGACUCGCGGCCUAUCAGCUUGUUGGUGAGGUAAUGGCUCACCAAGGCGACGACGGGUAGCCGGCCUGAGAGGGUGACCGGCCACACUGGGACUGAGACACGGCCCGGACUCCUACGGGAGGCAGCGGUGGGGAAUAUUGCACAAUGGGCGCAAGCCUGAUGCAGCGACGCAGCGUGGGGGAUGACGGCCUUCGGGUUGUAAACCUCUUUCAGUAGGGAAGAAGCGAAAGUGACGGUACCUGCAGAAGAAGCACCGGCUAACUACGUG
rnacentral:rRNA from 1 species